rnacentral:rRNA from 1 species
UACGGAGGGUGCAAGCGUUGUUCGGAAUCACUGGGCGUAAAGCGCGUGUAGGCGGUCAUCUAAGUCUGGUGUGAAAGCCCGGGGCUCACCCCCGGAAGUGCACUGGAGACUGAAUGGCUUGAGUACCGGAGAGGAGGGUGGAAUUCCUGGUGUAGCGGUGAAAUGCGUAGAUAUCAGGAGGAACACCGGUGGCGAAGGCGGCCCUCUGGACGGCUACUGACGCUGAGAAGCGAAAGCGUGGGGAGCAAACAGG